AAAGGAGCCUUGUACACAAUCUCUAGGUGAGGAAUGACUUUGUAAUCCGAGGCAUAAGAGGAGAGUGUGCACAGAGGAGAGAUCAUGUGAGGACACAGCGAGAAGACAAUCAUCUGUAAGCCAAGGAGAGAGGCCUCAGAAAAAAAUCCACCCUGCUAAGAGCUUGAUCUUGGACUUACAGCCUCCAGGACUAACAAGAACCUGAGACCUGCCGAACAGCAGGUGCCAAAGAUGCUGCUGUAACACCACAGCCCUCCCAUCUUCCAUCCUCCACUGGCGCUGAGUGGCAGUCCCAUGUGACAGGAAGUGGAGGCAGAGCUGGGCCAGCCCAGGAGCCACGUGCUGGAGCCAGAUACUCUGUUUUUCUACAAAUGGAAAGUUUGUGGCAUCCUUGACUCAAGCAAAUUUUUCAGCACCAUUUUUCAAGAGCGUGUGCUCACUUCACCUCUCUGUAUCGUGUUUUGAUGCUUGUCCUGGAAACCAACCAUGAGCUGUGAUGAAAUCCAGGCAACUGAGUUGUGUUUCAGCCCAAAGCAGCAAAUGGAAUCCAGCUUCAGGACCAUCAUCUGACAUAGGGGAAGAAGACUUACAUAGAAGGCCUAACCAGCACCCAAGAUCAUGCUCAUAGGUGGAGGAGACUUGCUUUGUCUCAGAUGAGACUUUGGACUGUGGACUUUUGAGUUAAUGCUGAAAUGAGUUGAGACUUUGGGGAACUGUUGGGAAGGCAUGAUUGGUUUUAAAUAUGAAUAUAUGAGAUUUGGGAGGGGGUCAGGGGUGGAAUGAUAUGGUUUGGCUCUGUGUCCCCACCCAAAUCUCAUCUUGUAGCUCCCAUAAUCCUCCCAUGUUGUGGGAGGGACCCAGUGGGAGAUGAUUGAAUCAUGAGGGCGGGUCUUUCUCAUGCUGUUCAUGAUCCCAUUCAUGUGAGAAAGACCCAUGUGAUCAUGAAUGGGUCUCACAAGAUCUGAUGGUGUUAAAAAUGGGAGUUUCUCUGCACAAGCUCUCUGCCUGCUGCCAUUCACAAAGGAUGUGACUUGCUUCUCCUUGCCUUCUGCUAUGAUUGUGAGGCCUCCCUAGCCAUGUGGAACUGUGAGUCCAAUUAAACCUCUUUCUUUUGUAAAUUG
rnacentral:lncRNA from 1 species